rnacentral:misc_RNA from 1 species
AUUCCUUAUAUGUUAAGCCGCCGUUUUCUUCCUCCUCCCCUCCUCUUGCCUCCGUACACCAACUCCAUCUUCAAGGCAUCCACCUAUGCCCAUCCAUGCUUCUCCUUCCUUGGGUUGAUGGUCAGUGGUGGUCGCAACAGUGUGGUAACCAUUGGAGUUGAUGGAUCUGGUGGUUCGAUGGUUCGAUUUGUGUGUUUGAUGGAUCAAAUUGUAGUUGCUUUAAAUCAAUUCAUGGGUGUUACCGCAACAUUGAAUGCUUGGAUGCGAGAUUGUGGGCUCCCUGUGGCUGGCAUCUAUGGCAACACCACAUUAUCGGUAGGGGGAAAAUGCCCCCAAAGGCAAGUAACAAUGUUGUACACCAUGACGACUUGCAAGUAUGUAAGUUACACCUAAAUACUUCCUAUUUUGAUGUAUUUGGUUUUAACUUUUUGUAUGAUAAAACAUAUAUACAAAUUUUUCCCACUAGAAAUUUGUAGUGAGGAUCGACAUUAGGCAAAAUUAUUCUAUUCGAAUUCUACAUUUUCCAUGCCCCUCUAUGUUCUUUAUAUUGUAAUCAAUAGGUAAAGAUCUAUGAUUUUUAAUAUAUAGUUUCCUUUUAGUUGAUCUUGAAACUACAUGUUCGUCAAAAGUAGAAUGGUGAGAUCCAGACACAUGUACAUAUACAUGAUUGAUUCAUUCAACUCUUGUGGUAAUGAAAUA